rnacentral:rRNA from 1 species
AGAGUUUGAUCAUGGCUCAGAAUCAACGCUGGCGGCGCGCUUAACACAUGCAAGUCGCACGAGAAAGGGAGCAAUCCCAAGUAAAGUGGCGCACGGGUGAGUAACACGUGGAUCAUCCACCUUCUUGUGGGGAAUAACCUGGGGAAACCCGAGCUAAUACCGCAUAAGCCCGAGAGGGGAAAGCAGCAAUGCGCAGGAAGAGGAGUCCGCGGUCGAUUAGCUAGUUGGUAGGGUAAAAGCCUACCAAGGCUAUGAUCGAUAGCCGGCCUGAGAGGGCACACGGCCACACUGGCACUGAAACACGGGCCAGACUCCUACGGGAGGCAGCAGUGGGGAAUCUUGCACAAUGGGGGAAACCCUGAUGCAGCGACGCCGCGUGGGUGAUGAAGUCCUUCGGGAUGUAAAGCCCUUUCGACGGGAACGAUAAUGACGGUACCCGGAGAAGAAGCUGCGGCUAACUACGUGCCAGCAGCCGCGGUAAUACGUAGGCAGCAAGCGUUGUUCGGAGUUACUGGGCGUAAAGAGUAUGUAGGCGGUUGGGUAAGUUUGGUGUGAAAUCUCCCGGCUUAACUGGGAGGGUGCGCUAAAGACUGCCUGGCUCGAGUGUGGGAGAGGAAAGCGGAAUUCCUGGUGUAGCGGUGAAAUGCGUAGAUAUCAGGAGGAACACCUGCGGUGUAGACGGCUUUCUGGACCAUAACUGACGCUGAGAUACGAAAGCGUGGGUAGCAAACAGGAUUAGAUACCCUGGUAGUCCACGCCCUAAACGAUGCAUACUUGGUGUUGGCCAUUCACUUGGUCAGUGCCGGAGCUAACGCGUUAAGUAUGCCGCCUGGGGAGUACGGUCGCAAGGCUGAAACUCAAAUGAAUUGACGG